GCCCCCUUAGCUCAAUUGGAUAGAGCGCGCGUCCGCUAAACGUGAGGUUCCGGGCUCGAAUCCCGGAGGGGGCG
rnacentral:tRNA from 1 species